UACACACCGCCCGUCACGCCAUGGGAGUCGUUUGCUCCAGAAGUGGCUGCGCCAACCCGCAAGGGAGGCAGGUCCCCAAGGAGUGACCGGUAACUGGGGUG
rnacentral:rRNA from 1 species